rnacentral:tRNA from 1 species
UCCUUGAUAGCUCAGUUGGUAAAGAAUCUGCCUGUAAUGCAGGAGACCUGGGUUCGAUCCCUGGGUUGGGAA